GAUGAAGAACGUAGCGAAAUGCGAUAAGUAAUGCGAAUUGCAGAAUCCGUGAGUCAUCGAAUCUUUGAACGCACAUUGCGCCCCCUGGCAUUCCGGGGGGCAUGCCUGUCCGAGCGUCAUUUCUGCCCUCAAGCACGGCUUGUGUGUUGGGUGUGGUCCCCCCGGGGACCUGCCCGAAAGGCAGCGGCGACGUCCGUCUGGUCCUCGAGCGUAUGGGGCUCUGUCACUCGCUCGGGAAGGACCUGCGGGGGUUGGUCACCACUAUAUUUUACCACGGUUGACCUCGGAUCAGGUAGGAGUUACCCGCUGAACUUAAGCAUAUCAAUAAGCGGAGGA
rnacentral:misc_RNA from 1 species